GCAGCGGUGGUGGCCUUCGAAGUAGAACCGGAGAUCGCUCCAGCCUCCGUCAGCAGAGCAACCAGCUUCCCUCCCUUGUUCAGUGCAAGAGUGUCUGCCACAGAAGGCAUUCACAUGUAAGUAACUGUCAGAAAGUAAUCCAGUGGCAGUGCAAGAGUGUCUGCCACAGAAGGCAUUCACAUGUAAGUAACUGUCAGAAAGUAAUCCAGUGGCAAGAAAGCAAGCUUUGCGCAAUGGAAUUUGCUGCUUGUUCAUAGAACAAUAAUUACAAUCAUCAGUUUAGCAAGGUUGUAGGGAGCAAAGCAGCUCACCA
rnacentral:lncRNA from 1 species